GUCUAUAGUCAAACUGCACAAAGAUUUUCCUGUAUUAUAAAGUACAUUAUAGAUCAGUCAAUGCUGUGUCAGUACGCUAGUCUGUUUGUCUGUCUGUUAUUUGGAGACGUUCUGACAUACCAGUGUUUCCCUAUCUGGGAUCCAUCACCUUGAUACAGUUGAUACUGAUUACUUCAUAUCAUUCAAUAAAGAAUAAAGUCAACAAAAAGAAUCCAGUUUCUUACAAUGGUGGCAGCGGUGGGAUUCUCGCAGAUUAA